GGGGAUGUUCCGGUUUCGACUGGUACGGUUCGCUUUGCAGGCCGCAGGUGGAGUGUCGAUCUCCUGAUUCGGCAAAACAUUUAACUGCCAACAACGACAGUUACGAUUACGCCUUAGCUGCGUAACCGCGUGGACCCGUUCCGCCGCUCUGAGGGACGGAGUCUGCGUCGCAAUCAGAGCUGGCUAACCGGCGUUUCCAUGCGGCGGAAGGCGAGAUUUUCAUGGAAUACGGGUACACCGCCUGCCGCGAAGCAAAGCGCGCCCCGACAAUUCAAUCCGCGGCUAAACCUGUAGACGUUUGUAAGGUGCGUAUUAGGACGCGGGUUCAACUCCCGCCAUCUCCA
rnacentral:tmRNA from 1 species